CAUAGUUCUCUACAAUUCCUCUUUCUCUCUUAACCUAAUUCCACAUUUCCACCCGCAAUUCAUCAGAUCCUCAUCAAAUCAUCCGAUCGUUUUACACUUUCUUCGGUUCACGCUAUCAAAUCUCAUGAUUUCACCCGAUCAAACACAUCGGAUUGCAUGAAUUCGUUGAUUAGAUAGCUAUACGAUGCAUGCAGAUGAAGAAUUUGUGAUUGAUUGAUCUCCCCCCAUCACGCCGCUAUGCUCUUCUCACGUACGCUUACAUCAGUUACUUGGAUGCAGUUUGGAUAACUAGAUUUGGCAUUGGCGAUGUGAUUAAAAAGUGUCGCUUUACAUCGGUCGUGAGGCUAUAAAGGUAUCCAUCCAUCCAUAAUAUUGUUAUUAAAUAUAAUAAUAUUAUACUUGUGGAUCUGUUUCCCAUUUAAUGUUUUAAAAGCUAUGGAAAGGAAUUAAUGCAAAAACCACAACUGAAAUCGAUCUUCUUGCGGACAACUGGAAGUAUAUUUUCAUGGGUUGAAUUUAUCAGGUCUACUCAACUCAACUUCCAUAUCGAAAUUACCUUAUAUUGAUAGAAAUAAUUUUCACCGUUUAGUUAUCGUAAAUUUUUAAUGUUAUUUUGACACUAAUGUUAAAAAUACAAAAAAAUGGUGAACAUGAACUUGAAAGUUGUUUUGACCAAGAGGUACCAGUACUUGUACUUCAACUAAAUCCUACACGAUUCUAAAGUUGGACAUAAAUUAGCAUCUAUGAUUGAUGAACGAACUUAGAAAUUCAUAUUAUUUGUGAGGUAAUAAGUAGCUUCAGGAUUAGAUUUAUUUGGAAUAUACAUUUGCACUAGCUCAGAAGAUCUUAGACCACCAAGGUAAUCUUUAUUUUUAUAAUUUAAUUGUUUGUUUCACCCGUUUGAUCUGGUUUAGAUAAAUACACCCAUAAUUGACACUUUUAUAACCAGAUGAGUUGGAGUUAAACCAAUGUCCUACAUAAACAAACUUGUAUUAGCUAAUUUCAUAAUGUUCCAGUGUGUUAGGGUCAUAAGCAAACAAAAUAUAAAUUGCAAAUGGGCCUCAGAUUUUUACUUUGCUUUGGGCUUCUAAAAUGGUUGAGCUAGACUUGGCUUAUUUGGUUUUUUUUUUUGAACAACAACUUGGCUUAUUUGGUUGAUUCCAAUGUUUCUAUCAAGCCAUCUCAUUUAAGUAGCUCUCCUACCUAACUUACAAAGAAAACAAAUAAGGUAAGAACUGAGUGCUGAAGGCUAAGUUCUUUUCACCAAUUUUGAUCUAAAUUAUGUUUCUUUUUUCUUUCUUUUGGUUUCAAGCAGUCAAUCCUUCAAUAGCAAUUAAGCCUUUGCAACCAGAUCACAAGAAGCAUACGGAUGACGACGGCUCUUGUUCAGUAGCAUCCUCGUAUCCAUAUCUUUGUUUGUUUCCUUUUGCUUGGUUUUCUUUUUUUGUUUUGCCCUUGUUCGACUUCUUAGCCAUACUAACGAACUGCUGCAUCAGCAAGGACAUGAUUUUCAAGCCAGCUUCUGCAUCGGCCUCAGUGUUCUACUUCCUAAGAGGGUAUAUAUCGUGAGAAGCUUUGGAACUUUUUUAUGAAACUGAAAUUCUCACCCAAAAGAACGUUUAGGCUUCUCAUAUAAAGAUUUGGAAUUUGGAAUGUUACUUAUUACACAACGUUUGGUUAACAUUUGGAAUAUCUUUCGGAUCUAAUUUUUUAUUGAAGUUAUAAUAUUAUGAUUCCUACAUUUACAUUUUUA